rnacentral:rRNA from 1 species
ACUCCUACGGGAGGCAGCAGUAGGGAAUCUUCCACAAUGGGCGCAAGCCUGAUGGAGCAACACCGCGUGAGUGAAGAAGGGUUUCGGCUCGUAAAGCUCUGUUGUUAAAGAAGAACACGUAUGAGAGUAACUGUUCAUACGUUGACGGUAUUUAACCAGAAAGUCACGGCUAACUACGUGCCAGCAGCCGCGGUAAUACGUAGGUGGCAAGCGUUAUCCGGAUUUAUUGGGCGUAAAGAGAGUGCAGGCGGUUUUCUAAGUCUGAUGUGAAAGCCUUCGGCUUAACCGGAGAAGUGCAUCGGAAACUGGAUAACUUGAGUGCAGAAGAGGGUAGUGGAACUCCAUGUGUAGCGGUGGAAUGCGUAGAUAUAUGGAAGAACACCAGUGGCGAAGGCGGCUACCUGGUCUGCAACUGACGCUGAGACUCGAAAGCAUGGGUAGCGAACAGGAUUAGAUACCCCGUGGUA